rnacentral:rRNA from 1 species
CCUACGGGGGGCUGCAGUGGGGAAUAUUGGACAAUGGGGGGAACCCUGAUCCAGCCAUGCCGCGUGUGUGAAGAAGGCCCUCGGGUUGUAAAGCACUUUCAGUGAGGAAGAACGCCUGGUGGUUAAUACCCAUCAGGAAAGACAUCACUCACAGAAGAAGCACCGGCUAACUCCGUGCCAGCAGCCGCGGUAAUACGGAGGGUGCGAGCGUUAAUCGGAAUUACUGGGCGUAAAGCGCGCGUAGGUGGCUUGAUAAGCCGGUUGUGAAAGCCCCGGGCUCAACCUGGGAACGGCAUCCGGAACUGUCAAGCUAGAGUGCAGGAGAGGAAGGUAGAAUUCCCGGUGUAGCGGUGAAAUGCGUAGAGAUCGGGAGGAAUACCAGUGGCGAAGGCGGCCUUCUGGACUGACCCUGACACUGAGGUGCGAAAGCGUGGGUAGCAAACAGGAUUAGAUACCCCUGUAGUC